GCGUGUAGAAUCGCAAACAAAAGUGCGUCACCACAACACUGCAGGACUGUCGCUACACGGUUGUGUUUUGGUUACGACAAAACCGAAUAUAGAAUUUUACUUGGUAUUUGUUGUUGCACUGGUUUAAGAAUAUGGUGAAGAUAGCGUUUAAUUCCGCUCUGGCGCAGAAAGCGCUUGGAAAAGAAGUACCGGUCUCAGAGAAGGACCCUGAGACCGGCUCGGUGUACAGCAGCGAGAGUUCCACCGGCCGCUGUCUGCUCACUCUGCUCGGCCUGGCCUUCAUCAUUUCAGGCCUCGUUGUCGGCGGAGCCUGUGUGUACAGGUAUUUUACACCCAAGAAGCUCUAUCACGGAUCCAUGCAGUUCACGGAUAUCGACAGCGCCGAUAUGCCCAUGGACAUGGAGGCCCACGCGCCUUACUACCUACCCCGUGUUGACGAGGACGUGGAGAUCCGUGACAACGUGGCCAUCAUUAACGUCCCAGCUCCUCGCUUUGGGGCUGGGGAUCCAGCUUACAUCCUGCAUGAUUUUAAGAGGAAGCUGACUGCUUAUUUGGACCUAACUCUGAAGACGUGCUUUGUGAUCCCACUCAACACCUCUGUGGUGAUGCUGCCCCAGGACCUCUUGGAUUUAUUCUUGCAGCUCAUGUUUACAGGAUGUGAAACUGAGAAACCAUACAGUGCUGAUAACUUUACCACUAGGUUACACAAGGCCUCUGUGCAUACUGAGUCAUGGUGCUGCUCACAAACCAGUAUAUUCUGGCUCGUACAAAACUCACUUGGUGCAUGAGGAUCUGGUGGUGACCGAGCGUAUUGACGACCUCACCCCCUUGGGCUAUUAUAUUUACAGCCUGUGUGAGGACAGGCCAACAUACAAGAUGCAACGCCGCAGCGAGAUAAUGGGCUUCCAGAAGCGCUCCGUGGAGGAUUGCAGCAUAAUCCGCCACUUCGAGAAUAAAUUCGUCACCGAAACAAGGAUCUGCCGAGCCUGAGCAAGCAGGGAGUCAGGAGGGGACAGACAUCCAAACACCCCCCCCCCCCCUUUCAUUGCAGGGUAGAGAGAUGUGAAGUGAGCUGAAAGAGGGAGCAAGGGAGGUCUGAGAGGAAAGGGCCUGUCUUCCAUCUCCUGCUGUAGUGUUUAGCAUAGGGUGUCUUUUUUUGUAUUAAUUUCGAGACGGCAGACGUUUCUCUUCUCCCCCUUUGCGGUGUAGUGAUGUAGCUCUCCUAAAGCAGUUUGCGAUUUCUUACACGUUUGUCACUGUACACCAUGAUUCCCUCUUCAGCCUGCCUGCAGCUCAAACCUUGUUUUUAGUGUGUGUGUGUGUGUGUGUGUGUGUGUGUGUGUGUGUGUGUGUGUGUGUGUGUGCGCGCGCGCCUUCUUUUCUUUGUCACCAUUUUUUUUGUGGGUAAUGAUUUGUGAACUGUGCAAAAUGUUAACCUUGGUGAACUUUUUGUUUUGUUUUGUUUUUUUUCCUUCUGCAGAAGUAUUUCUAUCUAAGCACACGGCGAUGCACCUCUAGUCUAAUCUUUUUUUGCUAUUUCCCGGUAAUUACUUAUCAGUGUAUAAAGACCCACUUGGUCUCUAGAGGUCUGAUCAGCUUGCAGCUCUUAAAAUGCGACCCUUUUGCGUUCAUGUAUUUUAGGAACAAACCACAUAUGAUGUAAAGUGUCAUUUCCGCAUGUUUUUUUGUUUAAAUUUUAUUUAUUUUUUUAUUUUUUUUGGAUCUAGCAGACCACUGUAGCGCUGCUUCCUAAUAGUGUCCCUGCUACCGUUUAUCUAUACACGUUAUGGUGUCCGUUAGACAUGGCUCGAUUUUUGUCAAUUAUACCUCUCGAUCCAAAUUCUACAUGCCUCAUAAUGAAGGCUAGUCAGUACAAAUGCACUACGAUAAGAUUUUUUUUUUUUUUUAGACGUUUCACAGAUUAGGACCGUGAACGGCUUCCUUGCAUGAUUUCACACAUGGUCUAGCCUGACCAUCUUUGUCGUCUUGCAUCGUAUCUCACGAACUCUGGCCUAAAGAAUUCUUGUGGUAUCACGUUGUAAAAUGUCACUGCUGGGGCACAGUGGUGUGUUAACAAUCACUCGACUGAUCAGCAACUUGAACCCACUACUCAGGCCUUUUAAAAAAAUAAUAAUAAUAAUAAUAAUUUUGUUUUGUUUUGGUGUAGGACUUGAUGUGCAUCCUUCAGCAAAAGGAUGUAGCAUUGACAUGUUACAAAUAAUUACCAACAGGUUCACCCAACCCACCCACACAGGUCAAUAUAAACAUGUGUUCACUCCGUAUUGGUGUAAAUAUACCCAAAGCCACCAGACCUGUCACCUUUUUUUUUUCUUUUCUCCCCACAAUAGUUUUCCAUUGCAACAUUCUGUCUACUCCCCGCACGGCACCGUGGUUGUUCAAUUGUUUUGAAAUUCCCCGUGUUCUAAAAAAAAAAAAGUUACAUGUAUAUUUUGGAAAGAUCCAGUAGUUUAACUGCUGCUCAGAAAAUGACAAUCAAGACUGGAGUCUCUGUUGCUGUUUUUUCUGCUCGACCCGAUUCAGAAAAAACCGGACGCGAAAGAUGCUUGACUGAAUAAAAAUAAUGUACUACUGAAACGUUAAACUGCUGACUGAAGUUUGUUUGGAAAUAAAAAAAAAAAAAAAUGCAUUGCUUUA